GUUGGCAGUCUGCGGGCUGGCCAGGGGCUUGGUCCCGGGGUUCUGCUUCGCUGGCACAGUGGGGAAGCCGCGCGCAGCCGAGGCGCCGGCCUGGGCGUGGGGCACGCGGCCGAGCCUCAGCGUCUGGGACCCCGACCGGGACAGGCAAGAACCACUGUCUCUGAACAACCUAAGGAAGAGGAACGUGGAAUCUGGAGAAUAGCUGGCUUCCAGGCUGGACCACUGCAGAGCCAAGGCCACAGGGCACACCCUCCUCGUCAUGCGUUCCCAAUACCAUGUGGACGGCUCCCUGGAAAAGGACUGCAGUCUGAACCCACUGGGUCGUGAACAGGUCGAACUAACUGGACUCCGACUUGCAAGCUUGGGGUUGAGGUUUAAUAAAAUCGUCCAUUCCUCCAUGACCCACCCCAUAGAAACCACUGGCUUCAGCAACAGGCACCUGCCAAGCGUCUUCAAAGGCCGCACAGACCUGGGGCGGGAACCCUCCUCGUCAAGCCAGCCUGGCAGCGUAUCACUGGAAGCGGCCGCUGGGCAUGCUAUGAAGAUGGAGUCCGGAUCGAGGGAGCGCUCCGAAACUACAUCCCUCGGGGGAUGCCAAGCAGGGGGAGGAUAAUUAGGAGAUCUUCCGAUGUCACGCCAGUGUCAUUCGCUGCAGAUGACAGGACACAGCGCUGCAGUUUCCUCCCGAAGGCUGGCUCCAUUGCUCCCUCAACAAUGGCAGCAUCACCCACCUGGUGAUCCGACCCAAUGGCCGAGUGGCGCUCAGGACCCUCAGGGACACGGGGUUCAUGCUCCCUCACAGCAUCACCCAGUC
rnacentral:lncRNA from 1 species